rnacentral:rRNA from 1 species
CUGGCUCAGAUGAACGCUGCGGCAUGCUUAACACAUGCAAGUCGAACGGUAGCAGAGAAAGCUUGCUUCUUGCUGACGAGUGGCGGACGGGUGAGUAAUGUAUAGGAAAUUGCCUUAAGGUGGGGGAUAACAUUCGGAAACGAAUGCUAAUACCACAUAAUAACUACGGUUCAAAGUGGGGGCUCGCAAGACCUCACGCCCUAAGAGAUGCCUAUAUUGGAUUAGCUUGUUGGUGAGGUAAUGGCUCACCAAGGCGACGAUCCAUAGCUGGUUUGAGAGGAUGAUCAGCCACAUUGGGACUGAGACACGGCCCAAACUCCUACGGGAGGCAGCAGUGGGGAAUAUUGGACAAUGGGGGAAACCCUGAUCCAGCAAUGCCGCGUGUGUGAAAUGAAGGUCUUAGGAUUGUAAAGCACUUUUAGUAAUGAAGAAUGGUUAGUAGCUAAUACCUGCUAAUUUGACAUUAGUUACAGAAAAAGCACCGGCUAACUCCGUGCCAGCAGCCGC